rnacentral:rRNA from 1 species
GGGGUGCUUACACAUGCAGUCGAACGGUGAAGCCCAGCUUGCUGGGUGGAUCAGUGGCGAACGGGUGAGUAACACGUGAGCAACCUGCCCCUGACUCUGGGAUAAGCGCUGGAAACGGCGUCUAAUACUGGAUACGAGAAGCGACCGCAUGGUCAGUUUCUGGAAAGAAUUUCGGUUGGGGAUGGGCUCGCGGCCUAUCAGCUUGUUGGUGAGGUAAUGGCUCACCAAGGCGUCGACGGGUAGCCGGCCUGAGAGGGUGACCGGCCACACUGGGACUGAGACACGGCCCAGACUCCUACGGGAGGCAGCAGUGGGGAAUAUUGCACAAUGGGCGGAAGCCUGAUGCAGCAACGCCGCGUGAGGGAUGACGGCCUUCGGGUUGUAAACCUCUUUUAGCAGGGAAGAAGCGAAAGUGACGGUACCUGCAGAAAAAGCACCGGCUAACUACGUGCCAGCAGCCGCGGUAAUACGUAGGGUGCAAGCGUUAUCCGGAAUUAUUGGGCGUAAAGAGCUCGUAGGCGGUUUGUCGCGUCUGCUGUGAAAUCUGGGGGCUCAACCCCCAGCCUGCAGUGGGUACGGGCAGACUAGAGUGCGGUAGGGGAGAUUGGAAUUCCUGGUGUAGCGGUGGAAUGCGCAGAUAUCAGGAGGAACACCGAUGGCGAAGGCAGAUCUCUGGGCCGUAACUGACGCUGAGGAGCGAAAGGGUGGGGAGCAAACAGGCUUAGAUACCCUGGUAGUCCACCCCGUAAACGUUGGGAACUAGUUGUGGGGUCCAUUCCACGGAUUCCGUGACGCAGCUAACGCAUUAAGUUCCCCGCCUGGGGAGUACGGCCGCAAGGCUAAAACUCAAAGGAAUUGACGGGGACCCGCACAAGCGGCGGAGCAUGCGGAUUAAUUCGAUGCAACGCGAAGAACCUUACCAAGGCUUGACAUAUACGAGAACGGGCCAGAAAUGGUCAACUCUUUGGACACUCGUAAACAGGUGGUGCAUGGGUUGUCGUCAGCUCGUGUCGUGAGAUGUUGGGUUAAGUCCCGCAACG